rnacentral:rRNA from 1 species
UUGGAAACAUUGUUUGCAGGCUCAGAUGCUGAUGACUUGGAGCACGACGAAUUGGAAGACUCAAGUCACAAAAACUAUGUCGACCAUGAUCCAUUUGACUAUGUGUACUCAAACCUGCCAGCCAACACACACAUCCUGAAGCACGCCGCGAACUGCGACCACUGCAAGGCCAAGAAGUUUGUGAGCGAGGCCCCAGGAUUCUGCUGUCGCAGUGGGCAGAUCGAGCUGAAGCAACUGGAGCCCAUCCCGGAGCUCAUGAGGCUUUGGUCUAGCACUGAUGCGGAUGCUAGGCAUUUUCGGGAGAACAUACGGUUUUUCAACGGACACUUCUCCUUCACAACCCUCGGCGUCAGCCUCGAUGAAACAUAC